rnacentral:rRNA from 1 species
CCUACGGGCGGCAGCAGUAGGGAAUCUUUCACAAUGGGCGAAAGCCUGAUGGAGCAACGCCGCGUGCAGGAUGAAGGCCUUCGGGUUGUAAACUGCUUUUAUAAGCGAGAAAUAUGAUGGUAACUUAUGAAUAAGGAUCGGCUAACUACGUGCCAGCAGCCGCGGUCAUACGUAGGAUCCGAGCAUUAUCCGGGGUGACUGGGUGUAAAGAGUUGCGUAGGUGGCAUAAUAAGUAGCUAGUGAAAUCUGGUGGCUCAACCAUUCAGACUAUUAGCUAAACUGUUAAGCUCGAGACCGUUAGAGGUAACUGGAAUUUCUAGUGUAGGAGUGAAAUCCGUAGAUAUUAGAAGGAACACCAAUAGCGUAGGCAGGUUGCUGGGACGGUUCUGACACUAAGGCACGAAAGCGUAGGGAGCAAACGGGAUUAGAUACCCGUGUAGUC